rnacentral:tRNA from 1 species
GUUUCUGUAGUUGAAUUACAACAAUGGUUUUUCAUGCCAUAGGUUAUGGUUAAAGUCCAUAUUGAAACU